rfam:Chelonia mydas contig189696, whole genome shotgun sequence.
GUCAGGAUGGCCGAGUGGUCUAAGGCGCCAGACUCAAGGCUUAAAGUGCCUUCCUCUCUCGAGGGCUGGGUGUUCUGGUCUCCGUAUGGAGGCGUGGGUUCGAAUCCCACUUCUGACA